rnacentral:rRNA from 1 species
UACGGAGGAUCCAAGCGUUAUCCGGAAUCAUUGGGUUUAAAGGGUCCGUAUGCGGUUUUGUAAGUCAGUGGUGAAAGCCCAUCGCUCAACGGUGGAACGGCCAUUGAUACUGCAAGACUUGAAUUAUUAGGAAGUAACUAGAAUAUGUAGUGUAGCGGUGAAAUGCUUAGAUAUUACAUGGAAUACCAAUUGCGAAGGCAGGUUACUACUAAUAUAUUGACGCUGAUGGACGAAAGCGUGGGGAGCGAACAGG